UACAGAGGGUGCGAGCGUUAAUCGGAAUUACUGGGCGUAAAGAGUGCGUAGGUGGUUUAGUAAGUCAGAUGUGAAAUCCCCGGGCUCAACCUGGGAACUGCAUUUGAAACUAUUAGGCUAGAGUGCGGUAGAGGGAAGUGGAAUUUCCGGUGUAGCGGUGAAAUGCGUAGAUAUCGGAAGGAACAUCAGUGGCGAAGGCGACUUCCUGGACCGUAACUGACACUGAGGCACGAAAGCGUGGGGAGCAAACAGG
rnacentral:rRNA from 1 species